rnacentral:rRNA from 1 species
GACGAACGCUGGCGGCGUGCCUAAUACAUGCAAGUCGAGCGAAGUUGAUAGAGUGCUUGCACUCUUGAUGCUUAGCGGCGGACGGGUGAGUAACACGUAGGCAACCUGCCUGUAAGACUGGGAUAACUACCGGAAACGGUAGCUAAUACCGGAUAGGCUUUUCCCUCUCCUGAGGGAAAAGAGAAAGACGGAGCAAUCUGUCACUUACAGAUGGGCCUGCGGCGCAUUAGCUAGUUGGUGAGGUAAUGGCUCACCAAGGCGACGAUGCGUAGCCGACCUGAGAGGGUGAUCGGCCACACUGGGACUGAGACACGGCCCAGACUCCUACGGGAGGCAGCAGUAGGGAAUCUUCCGCAAUGGACGAAAGUCUGACGGAGCAACGCCGCGUGAGUGAUGAAGGCCCUCGGGUCGUAAAGCUCUGUUGCCAAGGAAGAACAGUCGAGAGAGUAACUGCUCUCGAAAUGACGGUACUUGAGAAGAAAGCCCCGGCUAACUACGUGCCAGCCGCCGCAGUAAAAC